CAGCCGCCACGGGAAUACAGAGGGUGCGAGCGUUAAUCGGAUUUACUGGGCGUAAAGCGUGCGUAGGCGGCUUUUUAAGUCGGAUGUGAAAUCCCUGAGCUUAACUUAGGAAUUGCAUUCGAUACUGGGAAGCUAGAGUAUGGGAGAGGAUGGUAGAAUUCCAGGUGUAGCGGUGAAAUGCGUAGAGAUCUGGAGGAAUACCGAUGGCGAAGGCAGCCAUCUGGCCUAAUACUGACGCUGAGGUACGAAAGCAUGGGGAGCAAACAGGAUUAGAUACCCCAGUAGUCCCUGUCUCUUAUAU
rnacentral:rRNA from 1 species